rnacentral:rRNA from 1 species
CCUACGGGAGGCAGCAGUGAGGAAUAUUGGUCAAUGGGCGCUAGCCUGAACCAGCCAAGUAGCGUGAAGGAUGACUGCCCUCUGGGUUGUAAACUUCUUUUAUAUGGGAAUAAAGUGCAGUAUGUAUACUGCUUUGCAUGUACCUUAUGAAUAAGGAUCGGCGAACUCAGUGCCAGCAGCCGCGGUAAUACGGAGGAUCCGAGCGUUAUCCGGAUUUGUUGGGUUUAAAGGGAGCGUAGGCGGGUUGUUAAGUCAGUUGUGAAAGUUUGCGGCUCAACCGGAAAAUUGCAUGUGAUACUGGCAUCCUGGAGUACAGUAGAGGUAGGCGGAAUUCGUGGUGUAGCGGUGAAAUGCUUAGAGAUCACGAAGAACUCCGAUUGCGAAGGCAGCCUGCUGGACUGUAACUGACGCUGAUGCUCGAAAGUGUGGGUAGCAAACAGGAUUAGAUACCCGGGUAGUC